rnacentral:lncRNA from 1 species
CUCGUUUCCGCGCGCUGAGCUGUGCUUACAACUGUGUGAGGUAGCGUGAAUUCAGGCUACAAAUCUGAGUGCUGACCUCUUUGUGAUGACAAAUUCUCAGGGCUGCUGUGAGCCGUGGCAUAUGAAACACCUGGGCCUAACACAGAGUAAGUGUUCGCUGCACACUGUUAUUUAUAUGGGGAUCUGAAAAUCUCCCAGCCAGGUAGAUAUUGUGACCUCCAUUUCAACAAUGAGGAACCCAAGCCACGCAAAGAUAGAGCACUUUGUGCAGCUCACAGUAGCAAGCGGGAACUCCUACCAAACUGCCUGCUUCCCAUGUCCCUCUGCUCUACUUCCUCUCAUCUUUCAGUGAUUUUGUUUCUGACAUUUCAUGGAUUUUGAAUCAUUCAAGGAUUUCCAGUUUCACCCCACAACGAUGAUGGCACCCCGUGCUUCCCAGGCCUUCGUGAUUUUCAAUGCACACUCCUAUGGGUCAUCCCAAAUUCAAAUCCUGCCAACAGCCCAGCAACACACAGUGUGGGUGAACCAUCUCCCUCAUUUUGCGAACAGGAAAACCAACUCCUAAUGGCAGAGUCACUCAUGAGGCCACAGCAAAAAAAAAAAAAAAAGAGGCAAAAACCAUCAUCAGAACCCAAAUACUACCUCACAUUCACAUCCCCAAACUCAAUGCCUUCUCUUUUCCCUUCUCCCCCACCGCCAAGAGGUUCUGCAUUCAGCAGGCACUCAGUCAGUGCUCAUUGGAAGCUGCCACUUCCGAAGUGGGUGCUGCUAAGCACGUGUGAUGACCAUCUACAGACAAGAGGAAAAGCCAGGGAGCGUGGGUGGG